AUGAACGCUAGCGACAGGCUUAACACAUGCAAGUCGAGGGGCAGCAUGAUUUGUAGCAAUACAGAUUGAUGGCGACCGGCGCACGGGUGAGUAACGCGUAUGCAACUUACCUAUCAGAGGGGGAUAGCCCGGCGAAAGUCGGAUUAAUACCCCAUAAAACAGGGGUCCCGCAUGGGAAUAUUUGUUAAAGAUUCAUCGCUGAUAGAUAGGCAUGCGUUCCAUUAGGCAGUUGGCGGGGUAACGGCCCACCAAACCGACGAUGGAUAGGGGUUCUGAGAGGAAGGUCCCCCACAUUGGUACUGAGACACGGACCAAACUCCUACGGGAGGCAGCAGUGAGGAAUAUUGGUCAAUGGCCGAGAGGCUGAACCAGCCAAGUCGCGUGAAGGAAGAAGGAUCUAUGGUUUGUAAACUUCUUUUAUAGGGGAAUAAAGUGGAGGACGUGUCCUUUUUUGUAUGUACCCUAUGAAUAAGCAUCGGCUAACUCCGUGCCAGCAGCCGCGGUAAUACGGAGGAUGCGAGCGUUAUCCGGAUUUAUUGGGUUUAAAGGGUGCGUAGGUGGUGAUUUAAGUCAGCGGUGAAAGUUUGUGGCUCAACCAUAAAAUUGCCGUUGAAACUGGGUUACUUGAGUGUGUUUGAGGUAGGCGGAAUGCGUGGUGUAGCGGUGAAAUGCAUAGAUAUCACGCAGAACUCCGAUUGCGAAGGCAGCUUACUAAACCAUAACUGACACUGAAGCACGAAAGCGUGGGGAUCAAACAGGAUUAGAUACCCUGGUAGUCCAUGCCGUAAACGAUGAUUACUAGGUGUUGGAGGAUUGACCCCUUCAGUGCCGCAGUUAACACAAUAAGUAAUCCACCUGGGGAGUACGACCGCAAGGUUGAAACUCAAAGGAAUUGACGGGGGCCCGCACAAGCGGUGGAGCAUGUGGUUUAAUUCGAUGCAACGCGAAGAACCUUACCAAGGCUUGACAUAUACAGGAAUAACUAAGAAAUUAGUUAGCUCUUCGGAGUCUGUAUACAGGUGGUGCAUGGUUGUCGUCAGCUCGUGCCGUGAGGUGUCGGCUUAAGUGCCAUAACGAGCGCAACCCUUAUCACUAGUUACUAACAGGUGAAGCUGAGGACUCUGGUGAGACUGCCAGCGUAAGCUGUGAGGAAGGUGGGGAUGACGUCAAAUCAGCACGGCCCUUACAUCCGGGGCGACACACGUGUUACAAUGGCAUGGACAAAGGGCAGCUACCUGGUGACAGGAUGCUAAUCUCCAAACCAUGUCUCAGUUCGGAUCGGAGUCUGCAACUCGACUCCGUGAAGCUGGAUUCGCUAGUAAUCGCGCAUCAGCCAUGGCGCGGUGAAUACGUUCCCGGGCCUUGUACACACCGCCCGUCACACCAUGGGAGUCGGAAAUGCCCGAAGUCGGUGACCUAACCGCAAGGAAGGAGCCGCCGAAGGCAGGUCUGAUAACUGGGGUG
rnacentral:rRNA from 1 species